CUGAGCUAUAACCCCGGCCCUAAAGUGAUGUCUUCCUAUGGUCUGUUGGCCAUUUCAGAACUUGGGAAGUGAAAUAGCCAAUUCAUUAGGAAAAAACCCAG
rnacentral:snoRNA from 1 species